UCGACGAGUAUGUGCGCCAAUUCACAACAACAGCGACAUGCAAGCGAAACAAAUAUAAAUUGUUUAUACACCCGCCUCACCCAUGACCCUUCAACGCCCCACUUCACUCGCCCCACUAAUAAGCAUUAAUGGCAGUGGUUCGCGAUGAAUGGACAAAUGAAUGGAUAGCUCGAAAGUAGUGAAAGCGAAAGGGGGAGGCGAAAGGUGAGGAGGAGGGAGCUGAGGUGGUGGCAUAUUUGGCUUGUGCUUGACAAGUAACGCGAAAACUUUGUUGUUGUUCCUGUUGUUGUUGUUGUCGUAACUGGACAAAAGGCGGACGGGCGGACAAUGGCCUCUCAUUCGACGUGUGGCAGGCGAGCGUAACGGACGUGAACGAACGUGAACGCGGACGUGAUUGAACGAAAUUGAAAUUCACUUGCCUUGCUCUUCUCGCAAGGUUUGACGAAAAUGUCACUCUUGCUAUUGGCAUUAUUUGUGGCAGUUAUAGACAGUGCUGUUGUACUCGCAUGAUGGGCUGCGGCUCGUCCAUGGAGACGAGCGUCAGCGGCGACCAGGUGCCAAAUGCAGCGCUGUCUUUGCAACAAAAUGGCGGCGCCAACACAACGAAUAUUGUUAGGCAAUAUGUGCGGUUGGAUGAACAGAUUAGCAAAGUGGAGGGCGGUUGUCCGGGUCCACGUUUGGCCACCGCCGAGGCUUGGAUUGAGCAUCUGCAGGCGAAACGCGAUGCCAUGCUUGGCCUGGAGGGAAUGCCCAAAGUAAUGCAGACCGAAACAGCUCGUGACGAGCCAGAGGCUCUGCCACUGACCUUGGCCGGGGGACGAAGCACAGGCAAUGAAAUUGUCGCCAAUACGCCUACCAAUGACCUGGCCCAGCUGGCGCAUAAUCUGGGCAUAAUCGGCGAUCCACGCAAGGCUUCCAUGCACGAGGACUUUUUUGCCAACUUGAGCGAAUCGGCGCUCUAUUUACUUAGCAUACGUUACUACGGCGAACUGCUUGAACACACGAAACAACGCGUUAAAACGCUCUCGGCUAGCUAUGCCGAACUCAAUGAGCUUUAUGUGAACCAGGAUGGCAUCAUUGCCUACAUUAGCGGCGGCACUUAUAUGACCCGCCUCGAGGAGAGCAUCGAUGAGCAGUUGGAGUCGGCGCGCGAUACGCGUGACAAGCUGGGAAGUGCCAUGGAACAGUGGCGCAUUUGUGGCACGCUAUUGCGCGCUGCAGCAAACUCGGCCACACAGGCGUUGAAGCAGUGGCGACAGCUCAACAAGCUAAUCGAUCCCAAGCAAAAGCUGCAAGCAGCGUUGGAUUGUCGCAGCUUACUGCACGCAUCGCUGACGUCCCUUGAGGCAGCACAGUUGGCGCUGCCCCACGUGGAACUUAGGUACAUGAGUCAUCGCCAGGUGCUGGCGGUCAAUCACUGCAAUACUUAUUUAAUAACAGAUAUUUCCAAUGCAGCGCGUUACGAGCACACGAGUCGCGUUUUCAACAGCUACGAAUCAAGCAUGUCCAAGACUUGCACCUGGCUCUAUGAGACAUUUAAUAAAACUCUACGCAGGGAUUUUGAUAAGGCAGAGCAGGCAGUGCGACGUUUAGCGCAGACUCUGCGGGAACAUCGCGAGGAAAUCUUUAAUGCGGCACGCAAACGAAAGAUCUUCAGUGUUUCGAAAGACGUGACUCUGUGCAAAUCGAAAUGAAAACAAUAUUUUUUGGGCUUGUUAUCUUCGCUGUUGUUGUGCACUGUCUUGGAAAUUAUUCCAAUGAUCGAACCAGUUACAAUUGUAUAGACAAUAAUGUAAUAAGCGCAGAGGAAGGUCUGGCUUUCUUGAAGCAUGAAGAAGAUAUUCAAAAAAAGUGGAUUUCAUUAGUUGAACCUUUUAAUGAAUAUUGCACCGAUCCUGCCUGUGCCAUCUGGAAGGCCAAUACACCUUUGAGAGUUCAAGAGAAGCUUGCCAAGAUUAGAUUAAAUUUAGCCGAUGAAGGCAUUGAUUGUACUUAUGAAAUUAAAUCGCAUAAUUAAACUCGUUUGCUGGAUCGUCAAUAAUAGGGCCGCAACAUUUUAUUGAACUUAAUAAAUAAGUUUUAUUUGCUACAAGUUUCAAACCAAACUUUUCGUUUUCGUCAAUUUUCCUU